GGGUUGUGAGGUUAAGCGACUAAGCGUACACGGUGGAUGCCCUGGCAGUCAGAGGCGAUGAAGGGCGUGCUAAUCUGCGAUAAGCGCCGGUAAGGUGAUAUGAACCGUUAUAACCGGCGAUACCCGAAUGGGGAAACCCAGUGUGACUCGUCACACUAUCAUUAACUGAAUCCAUAGGUUAAUGAGGCGAACCGGGGGAACUGAAACAUCUAAGUACCCCGAGGAAAAGAAAUCAACCGAGAUUCCCCCAGUAGCGGCGAGCGAACGGGGAGGAGCCCAGAGCCUGAAUCAGCAUGUGUGUUAGUGGAAGCGUCUGGAAAGGCGCGCGAUACAGGGUGACAGCCCCGUACACAAAAGCGCAUGUGCUGUGAGCUCGAUGAGUAGGGCGGGACACGUGGUAUCCUGUCUGAAUAUGGGGGGACCAUCCUCCAAGGCUAAAUACUCCUGACUGACCGAUAGUGAACCAGUACCGUGAGGGAAAGGCGAAAAGAACCCCGGCGAGGGGAGUGAAAAAGAACCUGAAACCGUGUACGUACAAGCAGUGGGAGCACAGGUUUACCUGUGUGACUGCGUACCUUUUGUAUAAUGGGUCAGCGACUUAUAUUCUGUAGCAAGGUUAACCGAAUAGGGGAGCCGGAGGGAAACCGAGUCUUAACCGGGCGUUAAGUUGCAGGGUAUAGACCCGAAACCCGGUGAUCUAGCCAUGGGCAGGUUGAAGGUUGGGUAACACUAACUGGAGGACCGAACCGACUAAUGUUGAAAAAUUAGCGGAUGACCUGUGGCUGGGGGUGAAAGGCCAAUCAAACCGGGAGAUAGCUGGUUCUCCCCGAAAGCUAUUUAGGUAGCGCCUCGUGAAUUCAUCUCCGGGGGUAGAGCACUGUUUCGGCUAGGGGGCCAUCCCGGCUUACCAACCCGAUGCAAACUGCGAAUACCGGAGAAUGUUAUCACGGGAGACACACGGCGGGUGCUAACGUCCGUCGUGAAGAGGGAAACAACCCAGACCGCCAGCUAAGGUCCCAAAGUCAUGGUUAAGUGGGAAACGAUGUGGGAAGGCCCAGACAGCCAGGAUGUUGGCUUAGAAGCAGCCUUCAUUUAAAGAAAGCGUAAUAGCUCACUGGUCGAGUCGGCCUGCGCGGAAGAUGUAACGGGGCUAAACCAUGCACCGAAGCUGCGGCAGCGA
rnacentral:rRNA from 1 species